rnacentral:rRNA from 1 species
UCGUUGCACUCAGAGAUGGAGCGUUCCCUUCGGGGACAAGGUGACAGGUGGUGCAUGGUUGUCGUCAGCUCGUGUCGUGAGAUGUUGGGUUAAGUCCCGCAACGAGCGCAACCCUUAUUACUAGUUGCCAGCAUUCAGUUGGGCACUCUAGUGAGACUGCCGGUGACAAACCGGAGGAAGGUGGGGAUGACGUCAAAUCAUCAUGCCCCUUAUGACCUGGGCUACACACGUGCUACAAUGGCGUAUACAACGAGUUGCCAACCCGCGAGGGUGAGCUAAUCUCUUAAAGUACGUCUCAGUUCGGAUUGUAGGCUGCAACUCGCCUACAUGAAGUCGGAAUCGCUAGUAAUCGCGGAUCAGCACGCCGCGGUGAAUACGUUCCCGGGUCUGUUACACACCGAUA